rnacentral:rRNA from 1 species
CGGGACGGGUGAGUAACGCGUGGGUAACCUGCCUCAUACAGGGGGAUAACAGUUAGAAAUGACUGCUAAUACCGCAUAAGCGCACAGUACCGCAUGGUACAGUGUGAAAAACUCCGGUGGUGUGAGAUGGAUCCGCGUCUGAUUAGCCAGUUGGCGGGGUAACGGCCCACCAAAGCGACGAUCAGUAGCCGACCUGAGAGGGUGACCGGCCACAUUGGGACUGAGACACGGCCCAA